AGUGAACGCUGGCGGUAGGCCUAACACAUGCAAGUCGAACGGCAGCACAGUAAGAGCUUGCUCUUACGGGUGGCGAGUGGCGGACGGGUGAGGAAUACAUCGGAAUCUACUUUUUCGUGGGGGAUAACGUAGGGAAACUUACGCUAAUACCGCAUACGACCUACGGGUGAAAGCAGGGGAUCUUCGGACCUUGCGCGAUUGAAUGAGCCGAUGUCGGAUUAGCUAGUUGGCGGGGUAAAGGCCCACCAAGGCGACGAUCCGUAGCUGGUCUGAGAGGAUGAUCGGCCACACUGGAACUGAGACACGGUCCAGACUCCUACGGUAGGCAGCAGUGGGGAAUAUUGGACAAUGGGCGCAAGCCUGAUCCAGCCAUACCGCGUGGGUGAAGAAGGCCUUCGGGUUGUAAAGCCCUUUUGUUGGGAAAGAAAAGCAGCAGGUUAAUACCCCGCUGUUCUGACGGUACCCAAAGAAUAAGCACCGGCUAACUUCGUG
rnacentral:rRNA from 1 species